rnacentral:rRNA from 1 species
AGCGAACGCUGGCGGCAGGCCUAACACAUGCAAGUCGAACGGACCUUUCGGGGUUAGUGGCGGACGGGUGAGUAACACGUGGGAACGUGCCUUUAGGUUCGGAAUAGCUCCUGGAAACGGGUGGUAAUGCCGAAUGUGCCCUUCGGGGGAAAGAUUUAUCGCCUUUAGAGCGGCCCGCGUCUGAUUAGCUUGUUGGUGAG